GGUCCGCUGGCUCAAUGGCAGAGCGUCUGACUACGAUUUCGUAUCAAUCAGGAGGUUCCAGGUUCGACCCCUGGGUGGAUCG